rnacentral:rRNA from 1 species
AAGCUCGUAGUUGAAUUUCGGGGUUAGUAGGUUGGUCAUGCCUCUGGUAUGUACUGGUCUCACUGAUUCCUCCUUCCUUAUGGAACCGUAAUGCCAUUAAUUUGGUGUUGCGGGGAAUUUGGACUGUUACUUGAAAAAAUUGAGUGUUUAAAGCAAGCUAACGCUUGAAUACAUUAGCAUGGAAUAAUGAAAUAGGACGUUCGAUCUUAUUUUGUUGGUUUCUAGGAUUGACGUAAUGAUUAAUAGGGAUAGUUGGG